rnacentral:rRNA from 1 species
UGUAAGCCUGUGAAGGUGUACUGUGAGGUAUGCUGGAGGUAUCAGAAGUGCGAAUGCUGACAUAAGUAACGAUAAAGCGGGUGAAAAGCCCGCUCGCCGGAAGACCAAGGGUUCCUGUCCAACGUUAAUCGGGGCAGGGUGAGUCGACCCCUAAGGCGAGGCCGAAAGGCGUAGUCGAUGGGAAACAGGUUAAUAUUCCUGUACUUGGUGUUACUGCGAAGGGGGGACGGAGAAGGCUAUGUUGGCCGGGCGACGGUUGUCCCGGUUUAAGCGUGUAGGCUGGUUUUCCAGGCAAAUCCGGAAAAUCAAGGCUGAGGCGUGAUGACGAGGCACUACGGUGCUGAAGCAACAAAUGCCCUGCUUCCAGGAAAAGCCUCUAAGCAUCAGGUAACAUCAAAUCGUACCCCAAACCGACACAGGUGGUCAGGUAGAGAAUACCAAGGCGCUUGAGAGAACUCGGGUGAAGGAACUAGGCAAAAUGGUGCCGUAACUUCGGGAGAAGGCACGCUGAUAUGUAGGUGAAGCGACUUGCUCGUGGAGCUGAAAUCAGUCGAAGAUACCAGCUGGCUGCAACUGUUUAUUAAAAACACAGCACUGUGCAAACACGAAAGUGGACGUAUACGGUGUGACGCCUGCCCGGUGC